AACGAACGCUGGCGGCGUGCCUAACACAUGCAAGUCGAGCGCGAAUGGAGCAAUCCUAGUAGAGCGGCGCACGGGUGCGUAACACGUGGGUAAUCUGCCUCAAAGCUCGGGAUAACUUUCCGAAAGGUUAGCUAAUACCGGAUAAGCUCACAGGGUCUUCGGAUCUGGUGAGAAAAUGGUGGCCUCUAUUUAUAAGCUAUCACUUUGAGAUGAGCCCGCGGCCCCAUCAGCUAGUUGGCGGUGUAAUAGACCACCAAGGCAACGACGGGUAGCUGGUCUGAGAGGACGAUCAGCCACACUGGAACUGAGACACGGUCCAGACUCCUACGGGAGGCAGCAGUGGGAAUUUUCCACAAUGGGCGAAAGCCUGAUGGAGCAACGCCGCGUGUGUGAUGAAGGUCUUCGGAU
rnacentral:rRNA from 1 species